GACAGAGGUGCCGAGCGUUAGGCGGAAUCACUGGGCUUAAAGCGUGUGUAGGCGGAUCUGUAAGUACCUUGUGAAAUCCCACGGCUCAACCGUGGAACUGCUUGGUAUACUGCGGGUCUUGAGCCACCUAGGGGCAAGUGGAACAAAUGGUGGAGCGGUGAAAUGCGUAGAUAUCAUUUGGAACGCCAAUGGUGAAAACAGGUAGCUGGGGCUGUGCUGACGCUGAGACACGAAAGCCAGGGGAGCAAACGGG
rnacentral:rRNA from 1 species